GAGGGUGUAGCUCAAGUGGUAGAGCGUGUGCUUAGCAUGCAUGAGGUCCUGGGUUCAAUCCCCAGUACCUCCU
rnacentral:tRNA from 1 species